UACGUAGGCAGCAAGCGUUGUUCGGAGUUACUGGGCGUAAAGAGUGCGUAGGCGGUGUCGAAAGUUUGGCGCGAAAUCUCCCGGCUUAACUGGGAGGGUGCGCCGAAAACUGCGGUGCUGGAGUGUGGGAAAGGCAAGCGGAAUUCCUGGUGUAGCGGUGAAAUGCGUAGAUAUCAGGAGGAAUACCGAUGGCGAAGGCAGCCCCCUGGGUCGAUACUGACGCUCAUGCACGAAAGCGUGGGGAGCAAACAGG
rnacentral:rRNA from 1 species